AGUAGGAUUGAGAAACUCCAAAAGGAAAUUGAGAGUGAUAACUCGGCUGUUGUGCAACUUCAGUAUGAGCUAGCUGAAGUGGAGAGGAAGGCGUUAUCUAUGGCAAGGGCUUGGGCAGAGGAGGAAGCCAAAAAGGCCCGGGAGCAUGCACGCGCCCUUGAGGAGGCCCGGAACCAAUGGGAGCGUCAAGGAAUCAGAGUUGUUGUCGAAGGA